AGGGGCAGAUUCUUUGCUCUCUAGCUCGCUCGCGGCUGCAGGAUCUCGGGAGGGGGCCGACGUGCGGAGACUAGAGGGGGGUUCAGGAAGGAGGAAUUAGGCGGGAUGACUCAUCCCUUACCCCGCUUCCUUCCGACCUGCGAAGUAGUCACCCAGGAACAGGGACCGUGAGAACCUCCUCCCCGCCGCGAGUGGGCUGGCGGAGGGGGGCGGAUGCUUCUAGUCAGCCGCGAGCCUUCGGCUCCACCGAGGGCGGAGCAGCGCAGCGGUGGACGCCCCUUCUCCGCUGCCCCGGGCGACCCCAGCCGCACGGCGUCGCCCUCUCCGAGAAGCCGGAGCCCCGAGCGCCCCCACCUGGAGCCAGACAGCGCUGGGCGGGAGUCGUGGAGAGAGCCUCAAAACCUCCUGCUUCAGCCCAACGCCGCAUCUCCAGAAGGGGGUUAAUAAUCGCGACUUCCUGGCGUGGCAUGAGAUUUAGCGAGGUGUCGCUGGAGAUGACACUUGUCAGCAAAACCAUUGAUACAGUGACAGAAAAAAAAAAUCAUUGAAUCGAGUGACAUGCUAAAGUAGUAACUUAUUGGAAAUAGUACAUGGCUGACUUUUGCUGAGUGAUUCAUACAGGCAGUGACAAAAAUUAUUUCCAAAUUCUGAGAAAAUUUUCCAAAUUACUAUCUCCCAGAAAAGGUAACUUGUUUACAUGCAGCAACAUAAUUUAGAAUCACUAUAUUGCCUAGGGAAGAAAAUGGACUUUCUGUAGUCUUAUCAGUGGAGAAACGGAACAAUAAGCAAGAUGAUUUUUCCAACGCCUUUUUUUUGCUGUAAGGGGGGAAAAUCCUAAUUUUUAUUUAAAAUGUGUUAAUCACAAAUGCUUCGCAGUUUACUUUUAACCUGGCUGAUAAUUAGUUGAGACCAGAGCACUCAAAAGUGUAUGUUGUUGAUUUAAGGACAUACACUUUUUUCAAACAUGGUUGAGAUGUUAUCUGUACUUUGCAAGACGCGUCUAAUUUAUGGGUUCCAAGAGAAUUUUCUCAUACCAGGUAGUUAAUUACUGAGAAACUUUUAGGAAGAAGUGUCACUACCAUUGUAAGUUACUAUCUUUUCAUGAUUUUUGUAUGGAUUUGGCUGCAAAUCAUAGUGACUAGGCCAGUGAAGUAAGGAAUUGAAUUUGGACUUUGUCACAGUGUAUACUGUGCAUGCUAAGAGGCCUGCAUCUCAGCGGAAAGCUUAAGCUUAGUUCAAAGGAAAGGCAGGUGGUAUGAUACAGUGUGGGGUACACAGACCUCCGUACAGUACAGAUUCAGCACAGUAUAGAUUCCUGUACACAAAAGUCUGGAAGGAGUGCUUGCCCUCAAGAACUACUAGGAAAUAUCCUGAGGUGACUUGUUAAGGUCUACUGAUCAGGAGUUAACUAAAUCACUCAUCCCUAGGAGAGCUUAGAAAGAAUGUCAUUUAUUGAGAAUUCACCCUGUUAUAGGCAGCAGGUUUAUUUACUUGUAUGCAUUAGUUGGUCCAAGCCCUGUAUCAUCAUUUUUCAGGUUAAUGACUUGAUAAGAAAAUACACUUGAGUAAGUACUAAAGGUCCAAUAUUGGUGAGACUGGGAUUUCAGGUGCAUGAAAUUUUGUUGCUUUUUUUCAUUCAUUUAUUGAAUGUAGUCUUCUACCUCUGUCAGUUUUUUUAUGUGACAAAUACCUUCCAAAUGAGCAUGGUUAACUUCUGUGCUGUUCUGCUUUAUUUUUCUUACAUUCACUUCUCUAAAAUAUUUGAAUAGGCACUUGAAGAUUUUCCUCUUAUGGUGUACCAUUAGGCUAUAGUGUCUGUACUUUAAAGUCCCCAGUGAAGUAUCUUUAAAACAGAAUGAGUAUCAGGAUGUAAUUGAUGAUAUUAUAGAGGUACUAUCCCAUUGGGGUAAUAUUUUCUUUUAUCCAGCUGCUGAUCGAUCUAUCGAUGAGGAUGGUUAGCCUUGUAAUUUCAUCAUUCCUCCUGUGAUUUUGGAUGUUCUCAUUUGGGUAAAAUGCCUGAUUAGCCUCUGAAACUUACUAUUCACCUAAAUGGUGUUUUCUCAGUAGUAAGUCAAGCAAAUUUAAAAUAUACCAGUAUGCUUUGUUGGUAUAUUUUUGUUUAAAAAAAAAGCUUGCCAUUUUCCAAUGAAACAUGAAAGAUAUCUUUCCAUUUUUCACCAUUAAUUGACACAACAGUCUCUAAACCUAAAGAAUGAGCACGGAGGAUUCUCACUCUUAUUAUUUCUCUACAUUGUUUUCUAACCCCACCUCUUCUUUUUUGUAGGGGGUAAAGUCAAUGCAAGGAGUUGAUCGUAGGCUUUGACGUUUUAAAAUUCUCUGACCCCCCCACAACACUUUUUACUUGGUUAAUGAUUAAGGGUCUGACUAAAUGUGUUUUAUAAAAACUGAAUCAUUUGAAAAAUGUUGGGUGUGAUGUUUCUGUUUUCAAAAGAAAUUAUGAAGAACCCUCUUUAUGGCACAAUUUAGCUCAGUAAUUUAGGUUUUAUAUUUUAAAUAUUCUAUAUUAUCUUUUUAAAACAUUUAUGUUUAUAUUCUUUGAUAAUUUAUUUAGUUUAGUAUUGAUAAUUUAACCCAAGAUUUGCACUGGGCUACAUCCCAAACCUUUAAAAAAAUUUUUUUUGUUUGUUUGUUUGGAAUAAGAUCUCACUAAGUUCUCGGUAUUUUAAAUCAUGUGAUUAUUUCUACUGGAAGGUGACUUUAUAUAAAUUCUACAGUAUUUCUGUCAAUAAUAUAAACUAGUAUUUUGGGAAGGGUUGAGAAUCUGAGAAAAUGAAGAAGAUAGAUAGAAGAACUAAGAUAAGACAGGAGGUAAAUAUAUCCAAGAGAUCAAAUUUAAGAUUACUAAGAAUUUUAGAAUAUGAAAAGAAAUGUAUAGGUAGAACUGUAAUUGAGAAAAUAAUUUCUCUGAACCAAAAAAAAAAAAAAAAAGAUAAAAGAGUUUUUAGAACUAUAGGUGACAUUUAUGAAAAAUGACCCAGGCAUAUACAGAUCAAUGUGAAGAAAAGAACAUCAUACAAUACCCUAGGCAGAAAAAAAAAAAACCCACAACUUACUUAUAAAGAAAAAAAGAAUCAGAUUGACAUUAGACUUCUUUAUGCCACGUUGAAAAUGUGAAGUAAAUUCUACAUUGAGAAGUCAGCCUAUCUUAGUCCAUUUCGUGCUGCUGUAACACAAUGACAUUGACUGAGUAAUUUAUAACAAGCAGAAAUAUAUUGGCUGAUAAUUCUGAGGGCUGGGAAGUCGAGAUCAAGGUACCAGAGUCUGGUGCAAGCUUCUUUCUGAAUCGUUCCAUUGGGAAAGGCAAAGAGAGCAAGAGAGCUGGUAACUCAAUCUUUAUAGGGAACCCAUUUCUGCUAAAAUGGGACUAUUCAACCCAUGACGGUAGUGCUUCCAUGAUCCCAAAAUCUCUUAAGAUUUCUCCUUCCAUACUUCUCUGUACUAGGGGCCAAGUUCCCCAGCACAUCAACUCUGAGGGACACAUUUGUACCACAGCACACCCUAUGCAUUUUCUAGCCAACCAAGAGGUAACUUAUUUGCCAGGUAAGAAAGAUAUUUGCAAGAACUUAGAGAACGUAGGAAUUACUUAUUCCACAUGAGAAAAAUGCAACUGAAGAAAAAAAUGAAUCUUGAGAGAGUCCUCAGGCUGGCUUAGGAGAGAAUGGGGAAUUACAAGCGUCCUAAUUAUCUGAUACUGGGAAAAAAAAUGAAAUGGGAAAGGAAAAGCAGGAAACAGAAUGUUUUGGUUAGAGGCAUGAUUUUGGUAUUUUUUCUUACCUAAUAGUAAAUCAGUACAUAUAUUAUGAGCUCUGGGAAAGGAAAUAUAACUUUUAAUAUAGCAGAAAGUACAGUAUUGCUUGCAAAUUAACAACCAUUGGAAAAAUGCUUUAAAUGUAGAAGAAAUGGAUACUUCCUGGCAAAAUAUGUAACUGAAUUAACCUCUCAAAAGUAAAAGAUUAUGGGAAUUUGAUCAUUUAGAUUAUUAUUGAAAAGGACAGAUGAAUUCUAGUUAAAUUUUUACAAAUAAUUAGUUUUAGAGUUAGGAAUGUAGCUUGGUGAUAAAGUGCAUAACUAUGACUGGGGUAUAUAUGGACCCAGUGUACAGGGCCCUAGAUUGGAUCCCUGGGGGCUAGUAAGAAAUUUAAUUUUAAUGUUACUGAAAGAAUUUAAAGAAAAAAUAACGUUCCACAGUCCACUAAUAAUGCUAUCAUAAUUUCACUAAUAAAAUCUGAUUAUAUAAUUAGUAAAGAACCUAAUGAAUAAACCCAAACUAUUAGGUUCAAAAAUGUUAAAUUGAAUAUCAGCAAAAAGGUAUUAGCAUGGUAUCAAGAUUCAUGAGCUAUGACCAAGUAAGGAUAUUUUUUAGGAUAGCAAGUAUGGUAGAGGAUCAGGAAAACUAUCACAAUGCAUUAUAUGAAAGAUUAAAGACAUCCCAGGGUUUCUACUAGAUGAAAAUUUCCAGACUUAAGCACACAGAAGAGGAACCCAAACAUAGUCCAUGGUAUCUGUGACUUGAGGCAACAGGGGAGUGGAUUUUGAGAAGUCCAGGAAAGGAAGUAUUCGUAGGGAGGGAAAGGAUAGACAGAGUGAGUGUUCUGAUAUGGUGGGGGGAGUUUGCUUGUGUCCUGGAACACAAUUUGUGCAUGUGGGGUGAAUCCCUGCCAGGUUGGGCAAUAAUAACUUCUAAAGAAAAGACAAUUACUGGAAGUAAUGCUCAGAGCAACAUAGGACUGGGAAUCAUUCAUAUUUCCUUCAACCAGAAUGAAGGUAACUCAUGAAAUAUAUAAAAAUCAGUUGAGUAUUCUCUUGGUGCUGAGACAAAAUACCUGAUACACAAAGUUAAAGGAGGGAAGGUUUAUUUUAGUUUACAGUUUGUAGAGGUUUCAGUCCACAGUUGAGUUGGCUCCAUGGCAGGGUGACAUGGCAGAGAGACAUGCGGAGGAGGAACAGUUCAUGACAAGCAAGGGCAGGAAGUAGCAGGCAGUCAGCCUUUUGAACUCUUACUACAUCUGGGCUACAGGCUUUCUGGAUGGUGUCCCACUAGGGUGGGCCUUCCCAUUAUCCACACCCAGAAUGUGCUGAAAUAAUCAGUGGUCUAAUCUAGUACCACACACCCUAGCUCCAGCCGCCUCUAAAAAGCCCUGCCUAUGAGCAUACAAGGCGUUGGGGGCACAUCUAGAUGCAUUACAUAACGGCAUCUAUUUCUACUAGGUAUGCACAAUUAACAAUCCAUAAUUUUAAAAUAUAACAUUUUAAUAGCAUCAAAAAAGCUUGGUUGGAAUUAACAAGAUAAUGUAAAAGAUCAGUACACUGAAAACUAUAAAAAGUGUACAGAAUAAAGGUAUUUCCAUCAGAUGUUGUGGACUGAGAAAAAUAAGAUUCAUAGGAAUAUAUACAAGAUAAUUUUUAUAGGUUUUGGGGGACUGAUGAUGCUUCCCCUUAAAGUACUAUUUAUGUACAUAUGUUUGCAUAGAGCUACAUGAAAAUGUAGAAAUCUAUUAAAGCAUAACAAGCUGGAAACCAUGGUUACUUGGAAAGGUCAGGGGAUGAGUGAUAGGUAGCAGUGGAGGGGAAGAUGGAAGCUAUUAAAAACAUACCGUUUCUACUUCCCUAGAUACAGGAUAUUCUACUCUUAAUAAACUAAUGAGUGACUAUACAUUCUAUACAAACACAUAUACACAUAUCUGUUUUUUGCUUAUUCUAAUAUACUGUCAAAUGUAAAAGAGCAAGUACAGGUGAAUGUGUGCAUUAUGAUUCUCUUUGUUAAAAAACACACAACCCACCCCAACCCCUAGGUAGAAACAUACUUGUAUUUAUAUGAAUGUACAAGAAAGGCUGUCAGGAUACUGUGUCAUUAGUAUUGCUUCUGAUUGGGGUUGGAGAAAAGAGGCAGAUGAUUAUCUUUAUGCAUUUUGACUAGGUUGUUGCACUUUUUAUAAUAAGCAUGGUUAUGAAUUUGUUAUAAUUUGAAAAUACCUGAUCAAAAGGAAUUUUAAAUUAAUUUCUGAAGGAUUAUGAACACCCCUUUGGGAUUCACAUUUUCCCUAAUCAUUGUUUAAUAUUUCAUCUCAUGUUUCUAAUUUUAAAAUUCUACAUUAUGAAUGCUAUUAAACUGUUAGUCCAAUUUGUAUUGUGAUUCUUUCUUCAUUAAAAAUGAUACCUAUUUUCUUUGUAAGCCUCCCGGUAUAGCUUCCACAUUCUUUCUAAUAUUCUCUGGAGCUGUCUUCCUGGUAACUUUCUCUACAUUCUGUAAAAUUUCAAAUAUUUUCUUUUCUUUUAAAACGAAACUAGUUUGCUAGAAAAAUAAACUCGUUGGCAGAAUCUUUUUAUUGUGAGUGUUCGAUAAAUGUUGCCCCAGGCUCUUCUAUAAUCUUUAAAUCCAUGCUCAAAGUCAGAAGUUAUUUGCCCCACAAUUUCAUUUUGAUUUAACUGUUACCACUUUUGUUAAUGCUGGAAGACACAGUAUAUAGAACGUUUUCUCUUAGGAUUUUGAAAUUGAAAAACUGAAAGAUUGGACAGGUUAGUUGGGUGAGGAGAUUGGGUAAAAAUGUCAUGAGAUGUCCUAAGAGGCCAGAUUACCCAAUACAGUUAUGUGGAAGCCAAACUUUCAAGGACUGUGUUAGAUGUGGUAGACAUUACUGGUGCUUAACAAUGUCUAAUCGGCUAAUCUUUUUCUCUUUUGUGGGUAGUUCUUGCCCACAAAAAUGUAUGUAGAAGUGAUACAUUAUUUUCUGAGAUAGUAAAAAUCCCCUAAACAAUGUUACAGAGCUUUUUGAGCUGUAAGGUCAAAGCUGUUUGGGUGUUUGAAGCUCUACAUGGAGGACAUUUAUCAGAACUAUUGGGUCAUGUAAUGCUUAGUCUUAAUUGUGCGAACUGGAUUGUUUGUUAGCUUGGGAAUUGUCUAGGAGACUCAUAAUACUUCUAAAUGUGUCUAGAUGAAUCAUGGAGGCAUGAUCUUGGGUGAUAUACACAGUUCCUGUCCCUUCCUUUUUGGUACUGUUCCCCUGCUCUGUUUCUUGGCUGCCAUAGCUGAACAUCUUUGCUCCACCAUAUCCUUCUGCCAUAUUUUUUUCCAUUGGAACUGCCUGACCAUGGACUAAUUGUCUGAAACUGUGAACGAAGCUAAACCUGUCCUCCUUUCCACUGUGGGUGUUGAGUAUUGUGCCACAGUGGCAGGAAAGCUGACUAGUCCAAGCCACUAUCUGAAUAACAAUAAAGGAGAAAUUAACUUGUUACAUUAAGCCAGAGAUUGGAGGGUUGUAUAUUACUGUAAGGUAGUGUUAUGAUUUGGAUCGGAAACAUCCCUUGAAGGGCUUAUGUUUUCAGAGGUGGGGCUUUAAAGUAAUUAUAUUACCGAGAUGCUAACUUCAUUAAAAUUUAAUCCACAGAUGGGUUCAUAGUUGAAUGGGCGGCUAGGAAGUGGGACCUAAUUGGAGGAAGCAGGUCACUAGGAGCAGCCCUUUGGGCGAUAUAUCCUAUCUCCAGUUCCUUCCUCACUCUGGUCUUUUUAUUAUCUGCUUCCUAGCUCUCAUGAACUAAGCUGCUUUCCUCUACCAUGCUGUUUUUGACUUAGAAUCAGCCAACCAUGGACUAAACCCUCUGAAAUUAUGAGCCCAAAUAACACUUUUCUUCAUUAAAUUGUGUAUGUCAGGUUCAUCAGGUAAAGAGCACGGUGAGAGAAUUUGUUCCAGCAACAGAAGGGUGACUGACUAAUACACAUAGCCUAGCCUAACCUGACUAAUAGAGUAGUAAAGAGACGUGAAGGAAGAAGUGGGCAGAGAAAAGCCAUGAAUGUGGCUCUGAAUAGUUUGUUAAUUUUAGUUCCCAUCAGGCUUGGUAUUACUUUGGUUUCUCUACAUGCAUGCUACAGAACCUAUCAGUAUCUUUACAAUAAACUUAAAUUUGUCUUUUUUGAUUA